UUUUUUUUUGCAACAAAGAACUGAUAUUCAUUAAAUAAAGGCCAAAGUUCGAGGUGGCAGAUAAAAAAAGUAGCAAAAAAAUGAAAAGACAAAGAAAUAAAACCAGCAGUCCAAAAAGCGAAACAAAAAAACAACAAUAGAAAAACAAGCAAUCCAAAGCAACAGGUAAGCAUAUAGAAUAAUCAAAACCACCUCGUCCUCCCCAAAAACUAAAAACCCCAAGGAAUAUCAGCCACAUCGUCCUCCCCAAAAACCGAAACAAACUUGAAACGAGCAAGGGAGAAAACUUUGGAAACCUUCCAUGGAGAUUCAACAGAACCUUCUCCAUCCUCCCCCAAAAAAAAAAAAAAACAAAGACCUCUUAACUUCGUUGGAUCCAAGCCUUCCAAUCCGCAGCCAGAACCAUCCUUACCGAUUUCAGCGGAUCAUGAAACCAAAUACAAGGGGACAUACAAUGCCGGCCUUCCAUAACUAGAGCAUGAGCCGCCCUAUCGACUGCCCUCGGUACAAAAAGGUAAGAAACAUUCUCAAACUGUCUCUCCAUAACAUGAAUACUGUUGAUAAUCGGUCCCAGUACCGAUCUAUCCUCUCCGUCUGAAUUGAGUUUUUUUUAUUAUGGUCAGAGAAUCCCCUUCUAACAGAACCCUCAUGAAACCCAUUUCAGCCGCAAAAACCAUUGCCCUUUCGCAUGCCCGAGCUUCAGCAACGAAGGCAUCUACCAUGUCGUCCAAAGGGUAAGUGUACGCCCCCAAACAAUGACCGUCACUAUUUCUUGCUAAUACAACUGCACAAGAGAUUUUAGACUCUUUUUGGAAUCAAGCAUCAAAAUUUAAUUUAAUCAUACCAUUUUUAGGAGGACGCCAAAGAUGAUGUAUUGUAGUAUUAGAAGAGACAGCCAAUUUCAUUUGACACAAGGAAAUCUCUUGAAUAUAUCCUCGAAUAAAGCCAAUUAGAUCCUGCAUAUGAAAAUUUUACCCUUCAUGAACUAAUUUGUUUCUUCUGUGCCAUAACGCCCAAAUAGAAAUAAUUAGGACCUGUCUAGUAUUGCUAUCAGCUACAAGAAAAGUAUUAACAAAUCUGUUUUUGCAACUUGAGGUAUUCCCAUUCGUAAUGAGCCUAAUAUUGAGGAAGGCCCAAAGCUGUUGAAGAAUGCCACAAGUCCACAUAAGAUGAUCAGAAUCCUCCGGAUCAACAUUACAGAGAGAGCAGUCAACCUGGACAAACAACCGACUUUGAACAAGAUUGGUAUAAUGAGGCACAUAGUUGUUAAACAGGCACCACAUAUGUAUUUUGAUUUUAUCUAGAAUAUGUAGAUCCCAAAGCAAUUGAUAGAACUAUUUGUAUUUAGCAAUAGUGAUAGAGUUGAAAUCAUUAAACUGUAACUGCUCUGUAAUCAAAACACGAUAUCUGCUCUUAACGGAGUAAUCUCUAGUAGCCUCAUACUUCCAGACCAACGUAUCAUGUGUUCUGUGACAAGCCAGCAGAAUAGAGAGAAUACGGUUCAUUUGGUCAUCAUCAAACAAACUGGACAAAACCUCCUUUCUCUAG
rnacentral:lncRNA from 1 species